rnacentral:rRNA from 1 species
GAAUUCGCCCUUGGGGAAUUUUCCGCAAUGGGCGAAAGCCUGACGGAGCAAUACCGCGUGAGGGAGGAAGGCUCUUGGGUUGUAAACCUCUUUUCUCAGGGAAGAAGAAAGUGACGGUACCUGAGGAAUAAGCAUCGGCUAACUCCGUGCCAGCAGCCGCGGUAAUACGGAGGAUGCAAGCGUUAUCCGGAAUGAUUGGGCGUAAAGGGUCCGCAGGUGGCAUUGUAAGUCUGCUGUUAAAGAGUCACGCUCAACGUGAUAAAAGCAGUGGAAACUACAAAACUAGAGUAUGGUCGGGGCAGAGGGAAUUCCUGGUGUAGCGGUGAAAUGCGUAGAUAUCAGGAAGAACAUCGGUGGCGAAGGCGCUCUGCUAGGCCAAGACUGACACUGAGGGACGAAAGCUAGGGGAGCGAAUGGGAUUAGAUACCCCAGUAGUCCUAGCCGUAAACGAUGGAUACUAGGCGUAGCUCGUAUCGACCCGAGCUGUGCCGUAGCUAACGCGUUAAGUAUCCCGCCUGGGGAGUACGCAGGCAACUGUGAAACUCAAAGGAAUUGACGGGGGCCCGCACAAGCGGUGGAGUAUGUGGUUUAAUUCGAUGCAACGCGAAGAACCUUACCAAGGCUUGACAUGUCACGAAUACUAUUGAAAGAUGGAAGUGCCUUCGGGAA